AACAAAGCAGAUUGAACUGCUUUGUUCCAUGUAGGAAUCUUGUUAGAAAAAUGAUUUUUAAUGAGCUUGCCUAGGAAUCUCUUGGAACUACCUCCUGCCAGCUCAGAAAGAAUACCAUGUAACUUUAUGAAUUCAUAUCAGCAAAUCUUAUCAUAUACUUAAACGUUUCCUUUGGUGUAUUAGCCACAUUUUAUCCCCCCAAUAUUUAAUGUAAUCUCCUUCAAGUAAUCUUUGACAAGCUUUCAAAUUCGGUAAAAAUGAUUAUUUCAUGCUGGUGUCACUUAUUAAAUAUUCUAGACAUAAUCUUGCCAUAACCCAAGAGUAUUAACUCAACUCCAAUGUGGUGUUCCGCUUCACUAUUCAAAGGACCUUUUCACAGGCUUACUCAUUCAAUUCCGAUUUCUUUAGUUCUUUCAUUGUAUAAAACCUUUCCGUGACUUCUCCUCUGAUUUUGCAUUUCAAUAUCAUAUGUUUGAUCUACUAUGGGUUAAACACCUACGCUACGCAAAAGAAAAAAAAGGGACAGAAAAGCAUGGAGUAAAUAUGU
rnacentral:misc_RNA from 1 species